AACGCGAAGAACCUUACCAGGUCUUGACAUCCCUCUGAAAGCGCUAGAGAUAGCGCCGUCCUUCGGACGAGAGGAGACAGGUGGUGCAUGGUUGUCGUCAGCUCGUGUCGUGAGAUGUUGGGUUAAGUCCCGCAACGAGCGCAACCCUUGAUCUUAGUUGCCAGCAUGUAAAGGUGGGCACUCUAAGAUGACUGCCGGUGACAAACCGGAGGAAGGUGGGGAUGACGUCAAAUCAUCAUGCCCCCUUAUGACCUGGGCUACACACGUACUACAAUGGCCGGUACAACGGGAAGCGAAGCCGCGAGGCGGAGCGAAUCCUUAUAAGCCGGUCUCAGUUCGGAUUGCAGGCUGCAACUCGCCUGCAUGAAGUCGGAAUUGCUAGUAAUCGCGGAUCAGCAUGCCGCGGUGAAUACGUUCCCGGGCCUUGUACACACCGUAGUAC
rnacentral:rRNA from 1 species